UUUAUUUUAUUUAUAAUUUAUUAUCUUAGUGAAGAGCGGAUGUUACCGUGCUAAGAGUUCUCGUAGAAUGAGUAUUGUUUAUAUGCGAUAGUUUAUAAAAUGUGCUUUAUUUAUAUUGUGAGAUAUAAAUACUAGAAAUAAAUUUUUUCAAGAUUAAGAGAAUGUGCUAGAUAAUAUUGCAAGUAAAAGGUUAGGUUCUGGUCAAUGGCACAAUAGAGAGUUCAACUUGAACGCUUAAUCCAGAUGCCCAUAGCGUAGAAAACUAUGAGGAAUUGUAUAAGUAUGGAAAUUCUAAUUAAGUCAUAUCAUAUCGUUGUUGAUUGUAAAGAAAUUUACUAUAAGACCAGUUUACUGAACAAGUAGCCUAAAUCAACGAUAAUUUUGAUGAAAUAAAGAAAAAUGGUUUUAAAAGGUAUUUUAAAAUAGAAAUAUAAAAAUUAUUUAAUUCUGAAUAAUAGGUGAAAGUUGCGGGUAAUCAAUCCCGUCAGAUUUUAAGUUUUUUAUUAAACAGCAGAAGAAGUUAAGGUUCGCUACCUGAAGAGUAUGCGUGAGCUGCUCCUAAUACUCAGACUUCUGUUAUCUGUGACUGAAUUCAUUGCGGCGAUAUUGUCUGGUAAGGCGAAGGUCUAGUAUAUUGUAAAUAAAAUA
rnacentral:ncRNA from 1 species